rnacentral:rRNA from 1 species
UACGGAGGAGGCGAGCGCUAUCCGGAAUUAUUGGGCGUAAAGCGUCCGUAGGUGGGUGGCCAAGUCUGCUGUCAAAGGGUGGGGCUUAACCUCAUAAAGGCAGUGGAAACUGGCGAGCUAGAGUGCGGUAGGGGUAGGGGGAAUUCCCAGUGUAGCGGUGAAAUGCGUAGAGAUUGGGAAGAACAUCGGUGGCGAAAGCGUCCUGCUGGGCCUGCACUGACACUGAGGGACGAAAGCUAGGGGAGCUAAAGGG